rnacentral:lncRNA from 1 species
CCACAAGUAAAAUGGGGUAGGGGGCUUUGUUUGUUUAAACUUGUAUAAAAAUCAAUGUCAAACGUAAUUACUGUACAGAAUCUAAGUAAUGGAAAGCAUAAAAGUUUAAUGGUGAGGGAAUUUGAUUGAAAUGCCAGAUGUGAAGAUAAAUUUAAUUGGCCAACUAGUACUACAUUUACAGAAAGGUUGAUCUUGGGUAGAAACAGUAAUCAGACUAGUUAAAUAUCUACAAGUGUAAGUAGUGUAUGUGUGCUCUAUUACAAACUAUGAUGAAUAUUGUUGGGUGGUGGUUCAAUUCAAUAUAUUGAAUAUAUAGGUUGGUUGAACUUAUUAAUAGGUGGUAGAGACUAAAGAAAUGGCCUUAAAGCCAGGUAUCUCAUGGCUCAUGCAUGCUUCAGGGAAUUAGGAUUUAGAAUGAACACCGAAAGUUAUCACCACACCUGAAAUUUAAAAUCAAACCAAAUGGGUUAAAUAUCUAACUUCUCUCAGGAAUCCUCUAAAUGAAAAGGACACACAUCAUGUACACUGUUGAAUAGUAACUGUUUUAAUCAUUUGCAACUAACUACCUAUAUAUUGUUUUUUGUGGUAUGUGAUUAUGCAUCUCAACCAUUCCAUUACAUUGAAUUCUUGGUUGCAACUGAAAAUUUUCCUGCAGUGAACAUGGUUUAGAGGACGUAAAGAGCUUCUAUAUAUAGACCUGACCACACCAAAUAAGGUCAGCAAGAUGAUGUAAAUUGGUUCACUCAGCUCUCCAGUAGAAUAGCUGAAUUAGCAAGCCAAGCCAAGCCAAGCAAAGCAUUCAUUGAAAUGCAACUCUUUAAUUGUAAAGGCAGGCUUGCUUGUUGAAGAGUAAGUGCAAACACAGCUAGCUGAGAAAGGUGAUCUUUUUUUGUCUGCUGCUACUUGUAUGAGAUUUAAAUAAAAGGAAACAACAAUUAUCGAAUCAAAUAUAAAAAAAAGUGUGGAAUCUGGAAUGUCACCUCCUCUAUGGUCUGGUUGGAUUAAUGGCUCAUGUUAGUUUUGACUUUGAGAAGUGUUCUCUUUGGAUUAGUGAAAUCUGCUUCAUAAAAACAUUAUCAAGUAUGAACACACAAAAAAAAAAGGUCCGAUGGUUGUGACACUCCGUUAAUCUAAACAAACAUUCAUGUGCAUAAUCUGAAAAAAAAAAACUGUGCACUUGUUGAUAGACGAAAUUGCUGGAUUGUUGAUAAGGUCGAUCUGGGACAUGUUGGGGCUAAUUCACCCGGUUAAUUGCAAGGUCGUUAAGAUAACAUAACCUCCUGUUACAAUUUACAAAUAACAAAUCAAAUUUGAAGUGAUAUUCCCAUAAUAUUAAGAGUCGGCCUUAUUUAAUACCGUAGAAUCUUAUAUUAACUAAUACUAAUUGUUAGUUUCUUUCUCAGCUUCCAGAGAUAACUAUUGUUACAAAUUUCUUUUUAGUUUUCUCCAAAUCUUUUGGGAAGAUCUGAAGCUAAAAACUAAUUUACUUCUGGCCAUCAAAUAAAUUAUUAUCUUAACAUGAAAGGACGAAGUUUGGUAUGCAAAAUAUAUCAUUAAAAGUUAGCAUAAACGUCAGAUCUCACUUUUCAUAUAUAUUUUUUAAUGUUUAUGGUAGUUUAAUUUAGAACAUAUCUUGCCAUUUAAAAACUAAGCAGAUAUUUAUUUAGACUUACAUUAGCCAGAUUGGUGUAGAGAUUCAGAUUCAGAUUCAGAUGGGGCUGGAGGUCUGAACGGCCUUGCAACUAACCAGAUGAAUUCGCCCCAACAUGUCACACUCCCUCUUUUAGUCCUUCUGCAAAUCAGAUCUGUAGGGAAAUUUAUGGCAACAUAAUAAUAAUCCAAUGAAAGAAAAAGAAUAGGGUUCCUAGAGCAAUCAGUUUUCAAUUCAAGUUUAAAUUAUGGAGAGUCUAUCCUUUUUGUAUGCGAGUGGGUUUGGGUUUUGGUUUUUGGGAAAUGGGACGAUAUAGUUGAAUACCUUUAUAGAGCAAUCAGUUUUCAAUUCAAGUCAAGUGCUUCAGGAUGAAGUUAUUGAUGGACAAACCAGUUGGCGAUUACACUGUAUCGACAUUAGUGCAAAGUGCUGUACUAUAUUUCCCAUUGGGUAAUGUUACUCUAUUCCUUCCUCCCAUUGGGUAACACAAUUACAUAAGCGGUUGUAUUUAGUUUCUUUUUUUCUUUUUUCUUUAUUAACAGCAAUUUAAUGUGUUUGUGCUAAUAUUUGCUUUAAUUUUUUGCUUUUUUACUCUACUUUAUUUCAUAGCUAGUACGUUAAGGGAGUUUGAAAUUGCUUAUGUUAAGGUCUUAAAUGUGCUUAGUAGAUUAUUAUUAAAGUUUAUUAUCCUUAAUAGGAUAAAUUACUGAAAUUAUCUUUGUGGUUUUGACCAAAAUUGUUUGUUUAAUCACAAUUUUUUUUAUUUGGACCGUCUGUUUGAUAUGAUUUUAAUAAAUAUAUGGAUCCUAUCACCUCACACUCCUUGCUUCCCCUUCACCUCUGUCAACCUCAUUCAACAACCAUUGUUCAUCUCCGAGACUAUUCACCUCCAAUAAUUUGUAUGUCCUUCCAACCAAAUAAAUUGAAAUUGAACCAAAAUAAAAAACAAACCCCAUGUAAUCACAAUCAAAACAAAACCUAACCAAAGCAAAAUAAAAAAACAAACUUGUAACCAAAAUCAAAAUCAUACCGGAAAUUGGUUGAAUGGAGAUGUCGGAGGUUCUAAAAAUCGUAAAUAGUUCUAGUAAUCAAAAUAGGUUCAUAAAUUGAAUGUGUGUGUGUCCCCCUCCAUAAAAAUAGUUCUAGCAAUCGAAUAGGUUAGUCUCCUCUAGAAAGUGGCUCUAAAGGUCAUGAUUUCUAGAAAAGACGUCGGGAUCUAAUGUUGAACACAAUGAUUUCUAGGGCCACUCAUCGGUCUUGAAUAUGCCUAUUAUUAUGGUCGGACCUUGGACCUGCACCAUGUUUCGAC